CCCUUAGAUGUUCUGGGCCGCACGCGCGCUACACUGAUGCAUUCAACAAGCCUAGCCUUGACCGAGAGGUCCGGGUAAUCUUUGAAACUGCAUCGUGAUGGGGCUAGAUUAUUGCAAUUAUUAAUCUUCAACGAGGAAUGCCUAGUAAGCGUGAUUCAUCAAAUCGCGUUGAUUACGUCCCUGCCCUUUGUACACACCGCCCGUCGCUCCUACCGAUUGAAUGUGUUGGUGAGGAGCUCGGAUUGGCAGCAGUUGGUGGUUCGCCACCGGCUAUUGCUGAGAAGUCCUCCAAACCGGCCCAUUUAGAGGAAGGAGAAGUCGUAACA
rnacentral:rRNA from 1 species